ensembl:lncRNA
GCAAGUCACCAUCAGGGAUUUGAGGGAAAUAGGCUUUGUGCCUGGGUGAUAGAAAGGGGCCAGGUUCUGGGAGCUUGGCUGCAGGCCAUGUCUCACUGGCCAGAGGCAGCUCUCCCAGCCAAGAACUGGGCACUCCCCCCACCCCAGCGAGCUCUGUCCCUCUUGGAGUAUGCUUGUGUCCUUCAGCAAUCCCUCCCUCCUGUUCAAUUCCAGCCACAAGUCUUCAGGCUUACAGGAAGAUGGAGAUGCUUUUCUUCCAACUCGGCUCUGUGCAGACAAACACAUAUAAGGACAGCAGCUGGGGUGACCACCACUGACGACCAUUUCAACGCCACUGACCCAAACAACGUUUUCUCCAAACCAGUGACUGAGCUGGACAGACCUCCUGCGGGGGAGUUCACAGCGGGCAGGCCCAGAAACACUCUCAUUUCUGUCAAAGCCGGAAACAACCACUUCUCAACCUUUCUGGAAUUCCUGGUGACUUUGUAGUUUGCCUGUGUUUGUUAUUUUUGCUAACUCCUGUUUGCCUGUAGUUCCUGAUGAUUAGAAAAAUAAGCAAAGCAAGCCUUAAACACGAGAAG